rnacentral:rRNA from 1 species
GACGUAGGAUGCGAGCGUUGUCCGGAUUUAUUGGGCGUAAAGAGUUCGUAGGUGGUUCGUUAAGUCUGGUGUAAAAGACUGGGGCUCAACCCUGGGAUCGCACUGGAUACUGGCGGACUGGAGUGUGGUAGAGGCAAGCGGAAUUCCCAGUGUAGCGGUGAAAUGCGUAGAUAUUGGGAAGAACACCGGUGGCGCAGGCGGCUUGCUGGGCCAUAACUGACACUGAGGAACGAAAGCUAGGGGAGCGAAUGGG